rnacentral:rRNA from 1 species
UGCGUAGGCGGUUUGGUAAGUCUUACGUGAAAUCUACAGGCUCAACUUGUAGUCUGCAUGAGAAACUGCCGGGCUUGAGUAUGGGAGAGGUGAGUGGAAUUCCUGGUGUAGCAGUGAAAUGCGUAGAUAUCAGGAGGAACACCUGUGGCGAAAGCGGCUCACUGGACCAUAACUGACGCUGAUGCACGAAAGCUAGGGGAGCAAACAGGAUUAGAUACCCUGGUAGUCCUAGCCCUAAACGAUGACUGCUUGGUGUGACGGGUACCCAAUCCCGCCGUGCCGUAGCUAACGCGUUAAGCAGUCCGCCUGGGGAGUACGGUCGCAAGGCUGAA